rnacentral:rRNA from 1 species
AGGGUUUGAUCAUGGCUCAGAUUGAACGCUGGCGAAAUGCUUUACACAUGCAAGUCGAACGGCAGCACGGAGAGCUUGCUCUCUGGUGGCGAGUGGCGAACGGGUGAGUAAUAUAUCGGAACGUGUCCAAUAAUGGGGGAUAACGAGUCGAAAGAUUCGCUAAUACCGCAUACGCCCUACGGGGGAAAGCAGGGGAUCGUAAGACCUUGCGUUAAUGGAGCGGCCGAUAUCUGAUUAGCUUGUUGGUGAGGUAAAGGCUCACCAAGGCGACGAUCAGUAGCUGGUUUGAGAGAACGACCAGCCACACUGGAACUGAGACACGGUCCAGACUCCUACGGGAGGCAGCAGUGGGGAAUUUUGGACAAUGGGGGCAACCCUGAUCCAGCCAUUCCGCGUGAGUGAAGAAGGCCUUCGGGUUGUAAAGCUCUUUCGCAAGGGAAGAAAACUUAUGAUCGAAUAAAUCAUGAGGUUGACGGUACCUUGAUAAGAAGCACCGGCUAACUACGUGCCAGCAGCCGCGGUAAUACA